rnacentral:misc_RNA from 1 species
UUUCCGUAGGUGAACCUGCGGAAGGAUCAUUAUUGAAACUUGAAUCGUAGCAUUGAGAACUGUUGCUGACCUGUUAAAGGGUAUGUGCACGUUCGACGUGUUGUGUUCUAUUCAUCCACCUGUGCACCUUUGUAGACUUGAUUAACUUUCGCUCUCGAGCGGUUAGAAGGGUUGCUUUCGAGCUCCCUUUGUCUAUCAAGUCUAUGUCUAUAUAAUCUCUUGUAUGUCUAGAAUGUCUUGUUUAUGGGACGCAAGUCCUUUAAAUCUUAUACAACUUUCAACAACGGAUCUCUUGGCUCUC